GUUUUCUACAGCCUCUGCUGUCCCCCUGGCCAAAACAGAUACUUGGCCAAAGGACGUGGGCAUCCUGGCCCUGGAGGUCUACUUCCCAGCCCAAUAUGUGGACCAAACUGACCUGGAGAAGUAUAACAAUGUGGAAGCAGGAAAGUAUACAGUGGGCUUGGGCCAGACCCAUAUGGGCUUCUGCUCAGUCCAAGAGGACAUCAACUCCCUGUGCCUGACGGUGGUGCAACGGCUGAUGGAGCGCAUACAGCUCCCAUGGGACUCUGUGGGCAGGCUGGAAGUAGGCACUGAGACCAUCAUUGACAAGUCCAAAGCUGUCAAAACAGUGCUCAUGGAACUCUUCCAGGAUUCAGGCAAUACUGAUAUUGAGGGCAUAGAUACCACCAAUGCCUGCUACGGUGGUACUGCCUCUCUCUUCAAUGCUGCCAACUGGAUGGAGUCCAGUUCCUGGGAUGGUCGUUAUGCCAUGGUGGUCUGUGGAGACAUUGCCGUCUAUCCCAGUGGUAAUGCUCGUCCCACAGGUGGGGCCGGAGCUGUGGCUAUGCUGAUUGGGCCCAAGGCCCCUCUGGCCCUGGAGCGAGCUGGCAGUGAUCGACCCUUCACCCUUGACGAUUUACAGUACAUGAUCUUUCAUACACCCUUUUGCAAGAUGGUCCAGAAGUCUCUGGCUCGCCUGAUGUUCAAUGACUUCGUGUCAGCCAGCAGUGACACACAAACCAGCUUAUAUAAGGGGCUGGAGGCUUUCGGGGGGCUAAAGCUGGAAGACACCUACACCAACAAGGACCUCGAUAAAGCCCUUCUAAAGGCCUCUCAGGACAUGUUCGACAAGAAAACCAAGGCCUCCCUUUACCUCUCCA
rnacentral:sRNA from 1 species